AGAACGAACGCUGGCGGCAUGCCUAAUACAUGCAAGUCGAACGAACUCUUCGGAGUUAGUGGCGCACGGGUGCGUAACGCGUGGGAAUCUGCCCCUUGGUUCGGAAUAACAGUUGGAAACGACUGCUAAUACCGGAUGAUGACGAAAGUCCAAAGAUUUAUCGCCAAGGGAUGAGCCCGCGUAGGAUUAGCUAGUUGGUGAGGUAAAGGCUCACCAAGGCGACGAUCCUUAGCUGGUCUGAGAGGAUGAUCAGCCACACUGGGACUGAGACACGGCCCAGACUCCUACGGGAGGCAGCAGUAGGGAAUAUUGGACAAUGGGCGAAAGCCUGAUCCAGCAAUGCCGCGUGGGUGAUGAAGGCCUUAGGUUGUAAAGCUCUUUUACCCGAGAUGAUAAUGACAGUAUCGGAGAAUAAGCCCCGGCUAACUCCGUAGCCAGCAAGCCGAC
rnacentral:rRNA from 1 species